rnacentral:rRNA from 1 species
GACGAAGGGGGCUAGCGUUGUUCGGAAUUACUGGGCGUAAAGCGCGCGUAGGCGGCUUUUCAAGUCAGAAGUGAAAGCCCCGGGCUCAACCCGGGAAUUGCUUUUGAUACUGAUGAGCUCGAGUCCGGGAGAGGAUAGUGGAAUUCCCAGUGUAGAGGUGAAAUUCGUAGAUAUUGGGAAGAACACCAGUGGCGAAGGCGGCUAUCUGGACCGGUACUGACGCUGAGGCGCGAAAGCGUGGGGAGCAAACAGG